rnacentral:rRNA from 1 species
UACGUAGGGGGCAAGCGUUGUCCGGAAUCAUUGGGCGUAAAGAGCGCGUAGGCGGCCCUGUAAGUCCGCUGUGAAAGUCAAGGGCUCAACCCUUGGAUGCCGGUGGAUACUGCAGGGCUAGAGUCCGGAAGAGGCGAGUGGAAUUCCUGGUGUAGCGGUGAAAUGCGCAGAUAUCAGGAGGAACGCCUAUUGCGAAGGCAGCUCGCUGGGACGUAACUGACGCUGAGACGCGAAAGCGUGGGGAGCGAACAGG